ACUGGCUGUGGGUCUCUCAGCUUUCCACGCGUUCACCUAGUCCAAGAGUAGAAUUUCGAGGGCUUAUUCACGCAUCUCGACAUUCAUCCGGACUUUAUCGAAUUCAUCAGCCCACGUGAAGACACGCCAUGCCCGGACUCCGGAAAUUAAAGAAGAAACAAAAGUUCAAAUAUGACCGCAACCGGAAACGCGUGCAAAAGACGCAAGAACUGACCAAGAACUCGAACGUUCGCCUGGCCGAUGGCGUGAUUAAGGCUCAUUGGGAUGCUCGGAAGCCCCUCAAACAGAAUCUGUCGGCCAUGGGCUUGGCUUACGACGCCAAUCAAGUCAUGUCUUGGCCAUCCACCAAGCGGCAAAUGGUGGAACGAGCUCAAGGACGAUUGACCCACUUCAACCCCGCCAUUCAUGAGUCCCACCCGCCAGCCGAGACUGAAGCUGAAGCCGAGCUUGAGGCUAGCACCCCAUCCGACCAAGAUGACACACCCGUGGUGCGGGCUUUGAAAGCGCAGGUGGCGCAAGUCCCGGUGCGACAAUCCUUCCGGUUCACCUCCGAGGAGGUUCGAUGGAUCACGCAAAUGAUGGACAAGCACGGCGACGAUUUCAAAGCCAUGGCUCGAGACCCCAAGAAUAUUUGGCAAUGCACGCCCAAGCAAAUUCGUCAGAAAGUGGUCAAGUUUAUUCACAUCCCCGAACAGUUUGCGCCCUUUGCCAAAGCCCGCGGCUUGCUCGAGGAUAGUCAGGCCAUAUUGACCGAAACUGAAUAAACCCUGAAGUACUAGAACGACUCUCCUGAUUCAACAUGUUUCCCAAGUCCCCCUCGGAUGGCCUAAGGAGAAAUACCCAUUUGAAAUAUCCCUAAUGAACAAUAGUUUCUAUGGACAAAUUUUCAGUUCGGCUGAGCCGUUCGGCAAACGAAGCCAAGCCGGUCAUCAAAUAUUCAUUCCAAUUGGCAAUGCUUUGUCUAGUGUCAGAUUGGAGUCAUUUUUGGUCUGUGGCUGUUGUUGGCAUUAAAAUGUUUUGUUAAGAAAGA